CCUACGGGUGACAGCAGUCGAGAAUCAUUCACAAUGGGGGAAACCCUGAUGGUGCGAUGCCGCGUGGGGGAAUGAAGGUCUUCGGAUUGUAAACCGCUGUCAUGUGGGAGCAAAUUAAAAAGAUAGUACCACAAGAGGAAGAGACGGCGAACUCUGUGCCAGCAGCCGCGGUAAUACAGAGGUCUCAAGCGUUGUUCGGAAGCACUGGGCGUAAAGCGUGCGUAGGCUGUUUCGUAAGUCGUGUGUGAAAGGCGCGGGCUCAAACCGCGGACGGCACAUGAUACUGCGAGACUAGAGUAAUGAAGGGGCAGCCGGAAUGCUCGGUGUAGCAGUGAAAUGCGUAGAUAUC
rnacentral:rRNA from 1 species